AAGAACUAUCCCAGAAGCUAAAAAAUGCAGGAAUGGGAUCCGUUAUCCAGAAACCCAUUAUCCAGAAAGCUCAGAAUUACGGGAUGGCUUUUUCUCUGUAUAACAAAAUAGUAAAAACAAGAUAAGAGUCGCCCAAAGUAAACAGGAUUUCUAUGUUCCGAAGGAUCUUGUUUUCAGUUUGGCAACAACCCAAACUUCAACUUUACCAGCACAAAUUCUUCAAGUUGAGUCUUCACUUUUAAUGCAAAUUCCGAAUCCACCACCCAGCCACCUGCACCAGGCUUUAUGUUUAAUGUAGUCACACCAGGCUUUAACAAAGGAACGAAUGGCAGGACAACUCCAGCAUCUUCUAUUUCUAAUCGGAAGAUAAGGGCGGCCAGAAGAAGAAAAUAAUCAAAUGUGUAAUCGUUCUUUCAAGAAAUGAAUGGUUCCCACAAUGUGCAAAUCCUGUACCUCAAGCUGUGUGUAGUGGGAGUCAGAUCAGCCAAGUACAAUAUAUAUAAUAUGCUGAAACUUUUCUCUCUCUUUUUUUUCCCUCUGUAAUUAAAACAUGGUGAUGGGAAUUUUGUUAACCAAGAAAUCUGAUUCCGGCACCUCCUUUGUUACCUGACUUGGCAUGAUGUGGCUAUACAAGUGUUUAUAGCCUGCACAGCAAAUGGCUUUUGUAUAAUACCUCUUUCAUCCACACCACUAUUUUAUUGAUGCUUUCUAAUUGUAAUUAUGAGUGAGGGGCCGUGUAUAAAUUAGAGACUGACAACCUAUUUCUAUGCCGCAGCUGGACAUGCUAGAUGUGUAGUUGUCUGUUUCAAACAUAUGCCUUUUCUUCUUCUCCUCCUACUUCACCGUUUUCAUUCAGCGCUUGUCAUCUUUACUUUCCUCCAUUAUUUUAUUCUAUUCAUGUACAUACAUUUGUUUCUCUGUGUACCCUUCAGCAUAACCUUUCGGUUUACUGCAAAUCUCCUCUUUGUUUAGAAGUAUCUCAGAUUUUAUUAUGUAAGUCUCAUUAUUCAAAGUUGCCUAAAUCCAUUAAAAGUCUUUAAAGAAAAUUGGAAAUUCUUUAAAGUGUUUAUUGGC